GGGCUGCGGGCCGCCCGUAAGGAAGUCUCGGAAGAGAACUCCGGUUCACCUUCUCUUCGCUUGGAAAGGACAAUCGAUCGCGGUUCAAGAGAAGACUUCCCCAGGCAGCCUUUUAAAAGGAUGAAAGGCUGCCUUUUCCAAGGAUCUGCCCUGUUGAUGUUUAGCCAUCAACCACCAGCUCCAGCUCCAGCUCUUUCCUUCAUAUAUGCGUUAGGAGGCGAGAUCGAUCUUCCAUCACGAUUUUCGCUCCAAAUGCCGGGUCAGUGGAAUUGCCAAGGCCAAGCAACGAUUCUCUAUUUCAGGGGAAGCCAACCCUAAAUGUCUCUCUCUCUCUCGCUCCCCCUUUCUCGCCGCUCCCCGGUGCCCAUUCUUCCUGCCUGCAGGAAUGCGUUGGCUACAGGCUGAACAUCGCCGCCUUGCAAAAACGAUGGAGCUGCUUUCCUAGACCCAGUUCAGAUCCCGGGGAGCCCUUCUUAGCCAAUGUGGAAAAUCUCGGGAAUGCGGAGGGAAGGUGAGGGAUUCAGUCCCUCGGUCCACACAAAGAAACAGCGGUCGGCGUGUUCUCCCCCCCCCCGCCUUCUUCGCUAGGGACAGAAUAUAGCCUGAAGCAAUUCCACUGGCUUCAAAAAAUUUGCCCUGGAGUUAUCCAUUUAAAGGCUGAAACCAGAAUGUCAAGCCAUCACCAGCAAAGAUGGGAAUGAAAUGAAACGAUGGUCCAACAGUCACCAUGCUCUUAUUAUAGACUGGUAUGCAGCAGAACUCAUAGCAAACUGAGGAGGGGCAGAGAGGAAUGUGAAAAGCUGACUUUGAUGACAAGAAAAAGCAUUGAACCAUGGCAUAGCCAUAGUAAACAUGGUAGAGCAAGACUUCCAGUUCAGAUCUCUUGCUCCCUAUUUCAUUUCAGAUUAAGCAAAGCUCUUCUGAGUGUACCCUCACCUCUCGUUGAAGUCUUCAGGAAAAAAGGAAGAUUUAAUACAACGUGAGAUGGUCUUUCUCCUUCUAGUUCCUUCUGGAGGUGCUAGAUUAAAUGGUCUAUAAUUCUUAUGGUCAGUGCAGUUUGGUGGUAAAGAGGGCUAAUACACCUGCAUGGGAUGAGAUGAGGGGAAACUCACCUAGGUAAAUCAGGGCACUUAGUUGAUGGCCUAUACCAGUGGUGAGUUGCACCCGGUUCGCACCGGUUCUAUAGAACUGAUAGUAAAACCGGCGGGAGGCCCCGCCCACCGACCCUGACAUCAUCAAAAUGCUUCUGUGUUUGCGCAGAAGAGCACGCGUGCGAGCAAAGCAAGCGCAGGCACACGGCCCGGUUGCAAACCAGUAGUAAAGGUAAGUAGAACCCACUCCUGCCCUAUAGCCAUGAUGGAGAGAAAUAUUACUCCAACAGCAAUAAUACUGCCAUAGAACCCCUCACCAUGAUACCGUUGAAGCAAAACUAAGUCCUAAUCAUACAAUCUUGAUAAGAUUUCCUCUUAUUCACUGUCAGUCUGGCAGUACCCAAGAAAAGCAGCCCUGCAAUAAAGGAGGAUGGUCAGAGGUCGUUCUGCAUUUGGAAGAAUGAGAUUCUAUGGGAGGACAUGAAUUCAUCGGGAGGGUAUUAAUAGCAAAGUGAAAGCUUUAUGUGCUCCAUAUAAAACACCUUGCAAUCUCUAAGCUGUCCUGAGGUAAAUUAAAAGUAGAUGGUAUUGGAACAAGAUGUGACAACUAAUCAGGUGAGCUUUUGUACGAUGGGGGGAUGGGCACUAUUUUGGGAUAUCUUUUGUUAUUUGGGAUAUUUUUUGUUAUUUUUUUUGUAAUGGGUGCUCCAUCAUUGCAGGCUUUUAAAAAGAGAUCGGACAGCCAUUUAGUAUAGGGCAGGGAUGGUGAAGCUUUUCGGCACCGAGUGCCCAAACUGGAACUCGCAUGCAUGUGUGUGCAUGUGUGUGCACCGGAGCACCGGAAACCUGAAGACCAGCUGGCCAGCGCAUGCAUGCCUGUUUUUUGGCUAUUUGGGGGGCCAUUAUCAGGCCAUUUUUGGGGGGCGUUUUCAGGCCAUUUACCGGCCAGUUUUUGGGCCAGUUUUUUGGCUGUUUUCCGGUGCUCCAGCACCUGCAAAGACCAGCUGGCUGGCGCACAUAUGUGCACCAGGUGACAACGCAUGUGCCCACAGAGAGGGCUCUGCGUGCCAUCUCUGGCAUGCGUGCCAUAGGUUCACCAUCACAGAUAUAAGGACCCUUGCUUGAGCAGGAAAUUGGACUAGAAGACCUCCAAGGUCCUUUCUAAUUUUGUUAUUUUGUUAUUGUUUGUUUAUUUGUUCAGAUAACCAAAUUAUUUUGGCCCAUUAGUUACCGCUGGACACCCCCCCCAUUGAUACCAGUCCUUAUGGCAAAGGCAAAAAGGUUUCCUUCUUCUGUCGUUCUCUCCAUCUUUGCUGUUAGAAGAAGCAAAAGACAGAAAUGGUUUUGUCCUCUCUCUGUAAUUGCAAAAAUAAAUGGGGAUAGGUUUUCGGGAUGGCUUAUAGCAGAAACAGAUGAAUGUUCAUUGCAGAUGCCUUGUAAAAUAAAGUAUUUUUCAGUUGCUACAGGAAGUUUUAAUGUGCUGUAAAACAUGAGGAAAUGGACAUUGGGGAGGGGGAACUCUGCACAGUAACCCCUGCAGUAAAUAUACAGCCAUACUAAGAAGACACCAGGGAAUUAUUCAUCUGCUCCCCACAAAAAAAGGAAGCGUUUCAAGGACUCAACAGACAGGAGGCCUCUCUUCAUUUUCUCCUCUCCUCCUCUUCCUGAAAGGCACUACUUGGCUUGAAGUAAGGCCUUGAUUGAUAGGAAUGUGAUCCUGGGUCUCUCCAAUCAUAAACUGACUGAACAGUGGUCCAGUAUCAGCUUGCAUUCCAGCUGUCCAUCUUCAGUGUCACUUGGACAAGCCAGCUGCCAGUUUUUCAAACCACAAUUUGAACAUCUCUGCAGUAAUUUGUUCUUUCAUCAUAGAAUUUGCCAGCCCACUCCAAAGAAAGUAUCCAUAGGGCAAAUGAACUUGGGUUUAACAACACAGCACAUCAACUGCAUAUAUUAGAUUCUGAGCAUGAUGUUUUACAUCUACAGACUACAGCAAAUAAUAGAGCAACCCUUUGACGUGGAUUGGGCUGAAAGACAAUGAUUGUUCCAAGGUUACCCAGCUGGCUAAGGCAGGACUUGAAUUCAUUUUCCCUCUUUCUAGCCUGGUGCCUUAACCACUGGCUCUGUUUUGUUUCAAAAAAAAAAAAAAAAAAGUCUUCAGAUGGGCAUGCACCAAUCUCCCAGACCUGUACUAGGGAUUCAAAUCUUCAAACUGCCGACCUUUCUGAUCAACAAGCUCAGUGUCUUAGCCACUGAGCCACCUACUCAGUAUUUUUGCUCAUUUUUAUUUUCAUGUUUUUGAUGUAGGUUUCUCUGCUUCUUCUAGAAAUGAAGAAGCUGGUGCCUGUGCUCAACCUUAUACUUUUAUC